rnacentral:rRNA from 1 species
GUGUCAGCAGCCGCGGUAAUACGUAGGUGGCAAGCGUUGUCCGGAAUUACUGGGUGUAAAGGGAGCGUAGGCGGGAAUCCAAGUUGGGUGUGAAAUGUCCGGGCUUAACCCGGGAGCUGCAUCCAAAACUGGAUUUCUUGAGUGAUGUAGAGGCAGGCGGAAUUCCUAGUGUAGCGGUGAAAUGCGUAGAUAUUAGGAGGAACACCAGUGGCGAAGGCGGCCUGCUGGGCAUUAACUGACGCUGAGGCUCGAAAGCGUGGGGAGCAAACAGGAUUAGAUACCCGCGUAGUCC